rnacentral:rRNA from 1 species
UUAGUUGGUGGAGUGAUUUGUCUGGUUAAUUCCGUUAACGAACGAGACCUUAACCUGCUAAAUAGUUGUGCGAGCCUUCAGUCCGCCUGGGCAUUGGGGCAACCUGGUGUUCAGGUUGAACGGCUCGCAUUUAACUUCUUAGAGGGACUAUUCGUAUCAUAGCGAAUGGAAGUUUGAGGCAAUAACAGG